rnacentral:rRNA from 1 species
CUACGGGCUGCAGCAGUGGGGAAUAUUGGACAAUGGGGGAAACCCUGAUCCAGCAAUGCCGCGUGUGUGAAGAAGGAUGGAGGGUUGUAAAGCACUUUCGGUUGGGAGGACUGCUUCUAGCACUAAUAUUGUUGGAAGUUGACGUUACCUUCAGAAGAAGCACCGGCUAACUCCGUGCCAGCAGCCGCGGUAAUACGGAGGGUGCAAGGCGUUAAUCGGAAUUACUGGGCGUAAAGCGCGCGUAGGCGGCUAGAUCAGUCGGGUGUGAAAGCCCCGGGCUUAACCUGGGAACUGCAUCCGAUACUGUCUAGCUUGAGUACAGGAGAGGAGAGUGGAAUUCCACAUGUAGCGGUGAAAUGCGUAGAUAUGUGGAGGAACACCAAUGGCGAAGGCAGCUCUCUGGCCUGAUACUGACGCUGAGGUGCGAAAGCGUGGGGAGCAAACAGGAUUAGAUACCCGCGUAGUC